rnacentral:antisense_RNA from 1 species
CUUGAUCGACCCGAGCCACAGGGGCCGGUCGCGGUCACGGCCGUAGGUGGCGAUCAGGGCCUGCGCUUC